UACGAACCGUACAACCGUUAUUCGGAAUCACUGGGCUUAAAGGGUGCGUAGGCGGCCAUGUAAGUGGGGUGUGAAAUCCCUCGGCUCAACCGAGGAACUGCGCUCCAUACUGCAUGGCUUGAGGGAGACAGGGGUAAGCGGAACUGAUGGUGGAGCGGUGAAAUGCGUUGAUAUCAUCAGGAACACCGGUGGCGAAAGCGGCUUACUGGGUCUCUUCUGACGCUGAGGUACGAAAGCUAGGGGAGCGAACGGG
rnacentral:rRNA from 1 species